GAUGAAGAACGUAGCGAAAUGCGAUAAGUAAUGUGAAUUGCAGAAUUCAGUGAAUCAUCGAAUCUUUGAACGCACAUUGCGCCCGCUAGUAUUCUGGCGGGCAUGCCUGUCCGAGCGUCAUUUCAACCCUCAAGCCCCCGGGCUUGGUGUUGGGGAUCGGCGAGCCUCCGCGCCCGCCGUCCCCUAAAUCUAGUGGCGGUCUCGCUGUAGCUUCCUCUGCGUAGUAGCACACCUCGCACUGGGAAACAGCGCGGCCACGCCGUUAAACCCCCAACUUCUGAACGUUUGACCUCGGAUCAGGUAGGAAUACCCGCUGAACUUAAGCAUAUCAAUAGCGGAGGA
rnacentral:misc_RNA from 1 species